GACGUAGGAGGCGAGCGUUAUCCAGAUUCACUGGGCGUAAAGCGCAUGUAGGCGGCUGUCUAAGUCGUGUGUUAAAGCCCCUGGCUCAACUGGGGGAGGUCAUGCGAGACUGGAUGACUUGAGGGCAACAGAGGCACGUGGAACUCCCGGUGUAGCGGUGGAAUGCGUAGAGAUCGGGAAGAACACCCGUGGCGAAGGCGGCGUGCUGGGUUGCAACUGACGCUGAGAUGCGAAAGUGUGGGGAGCAAACGGG
rnacentral:rRNA from 1 species